rnacentral:rRNA from 1 species
ACUAAGCGUACACGGUGGAUGCCCUGGCAGUCAGAGGCGAUGAAGGACGUGCUAAUCUGCGAUAAGCGUCGGUAAGGUGAUAUGAACCGUUAUAACCGGCGAUUUCCGAAUGGGGAAACCCAGUGUGUUUCGACACACUAUCAUUAACUGAAUCCAUAGGUUAAUGAGGCGAACCGGGGGAACUGAAACAUCUAAGUACCCCGAGGAAAAGAAAUCAACCGAGAUUCCCCCAGUAGCGGCGAGCGAACGGGGAGGAGCCC